rnacentral:rRNA from 1 species
UUUAGGGAGCCUGAGAGACGGCUACCACAUCUAAGGAAGGCAGCAGGCGCGCAAAUUACCCAAUUCUAACAGUUUGAGAGAGGUAGUAACAAGAAAUAACAAUACAAGGCAGUUAAAAUGCUUUGUAAUUGGAAUGAUAGAAAUUUAAACCCUUUUUAAAGUAUCAAUUGGAGGGCAAGUCUGGUGCCAGCAGCCGCGGUAAUUCCAGCUCCAAUAGCGUAUAUUAAAAUUGUUGCAGUUAAAAAGCUCGUAGUUGAAGUUCUGCUGAAAGUAACCGGUCUGCUUUUAAUAAAAGUGGUAUCUUGGUAUGUAUUUAGCAAUGAUGUCCUUUGAAGUGUUUUUUACUUUAUUGUAAUAAAGCAUAUUCAGGACUUUUACUUUGAGAAAAUUAGAGUGUUUCUAGCAGGCUAACGCUUUGAAUACUGCAGCAUGGAAUAAUAAGAUAGGAUUUUAGUUCUACAUUAUUGGUUUAAGACGCUUAAAGUAAGAUAGCU